GGAAGCGGCGGUGCCGAGGCUAAGAGGGAGCGCCUCCUGCCUGUGGCCCACUGCGGAGAAGGAGGAGGAGGAAGAGGCGUGAAGGCGGGACGGCGACCCCCUUUCGCUGCCAGAGGGCUGCCGUGUGCGCGCCGACUAUACCAUGAGCGGCGCUGCCGCCGCCGCCUCUUACUUCGAGCCGCCAAAAACGCAGGAGAAUCGAGGCGCCACCGCCGCCGCCGCCGCCCCCUCGCCAUGCACGGACUGUGCUAUUCCCUUUGCUUGGUGGCGGCCGCUGCGGUGGGGCUUUCCAAAGGCAACAGGAAUUGUCCGGACCUGGUGGUUGACAGCUGUCUCUGCACCGCCGAGCGCUCCAAGGGACCCGGCCGGCAAACGCUCCGCAUCAAAGUUGUCUGCAGCGGAGGCGACUUGGCGGAAACUUUGCACCCCUCCUUGUUGCCCAACCGCACCGUCUCCUUAAUUCUGAGUAAUAACAAGAUCUUAUGGCUAAAGAGCAACUCUUUCAUUGGACUGAGAUCCCUAGAGAGACUAGAUUUGAAGAAUAACUUAAUUAGUAACAUUGAACCAGGAGCCUUCUAUGGACUUUCAGAACUGAAACGUCUAGAUCUUUCCAAUAACAGAAUUGGUUGUUUAACACCUGAAAUAUUUGUGGGUCUUAAAAACCUUCAUAAAUUGAAUUUAUCAGGGAACAUUUUUUCAAGUCUCAUGAAUGGUCUUUUCUCGGAGCUUCUCGCUUUGAAGGCCUUACAUUUCUAUACUGAUUCCCUCAUUUGUGAUUGUAAUCUCAAAUGGAUCUUAUACUGGGCUACAAAUUCCUCAGUGCGGAUAUCAGAGGAAACCGUGUGUGCUUUUCCAAGGAGUUUACAAGGAACAUCAUUUCGCAAUCUGAAAGAAAAUCAGUUGAUAUGUGCUGGUCCAUUGGAGUUGCCUCUUUUUGAAUUGAUACCAUCACAGAAACAGGUGGUUUUUCAUGGUGAUCGCUUGCCAUUUCAGUGUACAGCAACGUACCUCGACAUUACGACACAAGUGCAUUGGUAUCAUGACGGUCGCUUGGUUGAAACUGAUGAGGAAAGAGGCAUGUUUGUGGAGGAGACCAUAAUACAUGACUGCUGUUUAGUUACACGGGAGCUUAUCUUAUCCAGUAUUGAUAUUGAUGCAACUGGAAUGUGGGAGUGCGUGGUUAGCAACUCCUAUGGAAGCAUUUCUAAGCAGGUGGAAAUUGUUGUACUAGAAACAGCUGCACCUUAUUGUCCUGCAGAGAGAAUAAUUAACAAUAAAGGAGAUUUCAGGUGGCCUAAAACUGUGGCAGGUGUAACCGCUUACCAUUCAUGUUUUCAGCAUUCCUUAAGAUCAGCCUCCUUUCUGAAUGGGGAAGAAGAGUUAAAAGCAUGGCGUAAUUGUAACCGCACAGGUUGGUGGGAUGAAGAAAACUAUUCCAAAUGUCCUUAUUCACAGGAAGUAACUCAAAUCCUUCAUGCCUUCAGUCAGAGGCAUCUAAAUGCUACCAAUGCACUUGAAUUUUCCCAUCAGCUAGCAGCUUUCACAAGAGAUGCUGCCAAAUUUGCAGAUAAAGAGGAUGUUAUCUAUUUAGCUUACAUGUUGGAAAAACUAAUUCUAUAUAUGGAAGAAAUCAAAGACCAGCUUGCAGAUGCUGUCAUAGAGAUUGCCAGCAAUAUAAUGUUGGUAGAUGACCAUGUAUUAUGGAUGGCACAAAAGGACAAAAAAGCAUGUGCAAGAAUUGUACAGUGUGUGGCAAGCAUUUCAGAUCAAAUUCUGAGGACCAAUGCACAAGUUGUAUCAAAGGUUUCUCUUAAUAUUGCUCUGGAAGCAUUUUGGAUCAAGCCAUCCGUUUUCAUGGGCAUGACUUGUAUUGCUUUCCAAAAACUACCUGCUAAUCAGGACAGGUCACUGAGUUCUGACACAAAGAGCAGAGAGACAGACCAACCCUUGAAUUUUAAGUGCAACCCUGGAAAUCAAAAUACCUCUUUGGUGAAUUUCUCUUCCAUGAAUGCUGUGGCAAUAGCUUCAGUUCAUUUGCCACAGUCUGUCUUCUCCUCAUCUGCAGCCUGGCAAUCUGUUGAUAACUCCUCUUGCAAGCUACAGUUUAUUGCCUUUCGGAAUGGAAAACUCUUUCCCAACACCGCAAACUCGUCUCACCUUGCAGGUUAUGGGAAGCAGAGGGUCAUUGGCACACCCGUAGUCUUCAUUAAAAUAGAUGGGUGCAAUAUCGGAAACCUCACCAGUCCUCUUAUUAUAACGCUGAAGCACUUUACCCAGGGCAUAAACCCCAUUGCAGUCUUUUGGGCUUUUGACCUUCUAGAUGGACAUGGAGGCUGGUGGGGAGAAGGGUGCCACAUAAUUAGCUCUGCAGACAAUAUUACCACUCUUCAUAGUACUCACUUCGGUAACUUUGCAGUGCUAAUGGAUCAGAAGACGGUGUGGCCCCUAUCCCAAUACCCAGGGGAGUUCCUGCACCCUGUGGUUUAUGCAUGUACUGCGGUCAUGUUAUUGUGCCUCUUUGCUUCAAUUAUCACCUAUAUUGUCCAUCACGGCACAAUUCGAAUCAGCAGAAAAGGUUGGCACAUGCUUCUCAACUUCUGUUUCCAUACUGCUCUCACUUUUGCUGUUUUUGCUGGUGGAAUAAAUCGUGUAAAAUAUCCAAUUAUAUGCCAAGCGGUUGGUAUUGUACUGCAUUAUUCUACACUUUCUACAAUGCUCUGGAUUGGAGUGACAGCAAGAAAUAUUUACAAACAAGUUACAAAAAAGCCUCAAACAGCCCAAAACAGUGAUCAGCCUUCUUAUCCCAAACAGCCAUUGCUCAGGUUCUAUCUGAUUAGUGGAGGAGUUCCUUUUAUUAUCUGUGGAAUUACUGCAGCAACCAACAUAAAUAAUUAUGGGAUAAAAAGUUACGCUGGAGCUCAGUUUUGUUGGAUGUCAUGGGAGCCAAGUCUUGGUGCAUUUUAUGGACCGCUUGCAUUCAUUGUUCUGGUAACAUGCAUUUACUUCCUCUGCACCUAUGUGCAAUUGAGGCGUCACCCAGAACGCAAGUAUGAAUUAAAGGAAAGGAUAGAAGAUCAGCAAAGGUUGGCAAGUCCUGAACUUGGCCAUAGUCACAUGACAGACAUUGGAUCAGUCUCCCAAGCAACCUGUUCAAUGAUGUCUUCAUCCUUGUUGGAAAAUGAGCACUCCUUCAAGGCUCAGCUUCGAGCUGCUGCGUUCACUUUGUUUCUGUUUACUGCCACCUGGACUUUUGGCGCCCUGGCUAUUUCUCAAGGACAUUUCUUGGAUAUGAUAUUUAGUUGCCUAUAUGGAGCAUUUUGUGUAACCUUGGGGCUCUUCAUCCUCAUCCAUCACUGUGCAAAGCGAGAUGAUGUGUGGCAUUGCUGGUGGUCCUGUUGCCCUUCUCGAAGGAACACCUACUCAGUGCAAGUUAAUGUCCGUCCCAAAGUUAAUGUCAAUGGUGAAAGCCAAGCUCAUGCCUCAUGCCUUCAAGAAUCACCAUGCCCAAGUAAAUCUGCCAUUUUUAAUCACCCAGCCGUUAGUCACUGCAAACUCACUAAUCUACAGGCUGUUCAAAACCACGUCAACUGCCUUUCACCGGUCACUCCGUGCUGUGCAAAAAUGCAUUGUGAUCAGCUCCUGGAAGAUGAAGCUCAUAUUCAUGUCCACAACGAAGGGACUUUCAGACCCAACAUGCACAUUCACAGAUGUUUGAAAAGUAGAACUAAACCACGCUAUUUUAGCCGACAUCGAUCUGCAGGAGAAAGGGAGUAUGCUUACCACAUCCCUUCAAGUAUUGACGGCAGCAUACACAGCUCACAUACAGACAGUCCACAUAGUACACAUGACAGUCACUCAGGCCACAGGCGGCCAUGUUGUGCAAAAAACAGUCCCUAUCCAACUAUCACUCAGCCUGAAAGUAGUGAUGCAAGUACUGUGAUCUACAGUUGUGCUAAAGUCCCAGAAACUGAGACAGGCCCUCAUUUUGAAAUGCAUCCACGGACACAAUCCUUGCCAUUUAGCACAACCAGCCACAAUGGAAUCCUAAAGGGAAACUUGCAUGAAGCCAUGAUCUACAGUUCAGAUAGUACAGGAAAUAUCAAAACGGGGCCGUGGAAGAAUGAAACUACUGUGUAGUUGGUAGGCCACAUUUCUCAGCUUGCAGCUCAAAGCAUCUUAGACUGCAAACCUAUAUACAACAAUUUGGGAGUCAGCCCAAUUAAAUUUGGUGGGCUUACUUCUGAGUAGACCUAGGUAGGUUUGUACUGUUGGAGACCCCUGUUCUUAACUGAAUAAGAUUCUACGUGUUGGUGUGGCACAUGAGGUAACUGUACAGGUUUUCAACCUUCUUCUUCUUCUUUUUUUUUAAUAAGAAGAGGCUUUUAAAAAGCAGGGGCAGUCUCAAAAUUAUUUUUAAAAGAACAACAGAAUAAUUUUCAAGGGAGAAUGAAAAUGUAAACCUAGGAAGCAGACCGUGAGGUGUUUGUUACUACAGGUAGUCCUUGACUUAUGACCACAAUUCAGAUUGGAAUUUCUGUCAUAUGUUGAGCAGGAGCCAAUUUUACAACAAUUUUUAUGGUGGUCAUUGUGAAUCACUGCAAUUGUUAAGCAAAUCACAUGGUUACUAAACAAAUCUAGCUUUUCCAAUGGACCUUUUUAUUUAUUUAUUUAUUUAUUUUGCCUGAAAUCACAUAACAGCAAGAUAUGGCAACUGGUCAUAAAUGUGAAUUAGUUGCCAAGCACUCAGAUGGUGGUCACAUGAUCACGAGGGUAAUGCAAGAGUGGUAAAUGCAAGUUACUUUUUUCAGGCUGCUUUGAACCGUUGUUAAACAAAAGGUCAUAAUUCGAGGACUACCUGUAUCAUGUUAUGUGGUAUUGUUUUCCUUUUCUUUUUUAAAAAAUCUGUAUUGGCAUCCGAUACUUUUCUACACAUAUCAGCAUCACAGCCUUUCCUUGAUUAUUUUUUGCAACAAAAAUGGUCUUCUAUUAAUUUUUGAAGUCAGCAGAAAAAGAAAGGAAUUUAUAACCAGCCUAACACAGCUUUUUAGGCCUAUAAAAACGAUACUGCCUCUAAAAGAUCUUCUGUAGCCUAUGGCGUGUAAAACCAUGUAGUGUAUGUCACUGUUCUGUCUUCUUUCUCUUCAGAAGGGAAACACUAGGUAAAGUCCUAUGUUAACAUCUACAGUGCUGUACUGGUUGUAUUUUUUUUUCGUUGUUAAGAUUAUUGUUAUUAAUAAUAAUAUUUUUAAUUUCUGCAUGACAUCUGUCAGGAUAAUGCCAUUUGUUGUUUUCUAAUGUUGCAUAUGUACAAAGGGAAAAAAAAUACCCUAUUGUAAAAGGCUGUGACUAUCCAUGUUGGUAUUAAUCCAGAGCGUUUUGACUCUAUGAAAAGGGAAAAAAAGGAAAAAAAUAUCUUCUGCACUCCUUUAAGUGGCACAAUCCUUUCUAUGAUGUUAAAAGAUUGCUUUGAUAAGGGUGCACUCUAAUGUCUCUGCAAAGCAUGUCCCAUUGAAUGUGGCACUGUGUAUGUCUCUAGUAGCCGUCUCUCCACCAAUUUCACUCUUUGGUCCAUUUGCCUUUGGGAAUUAACCUGCCAGUAGCCCUAUCAUCAUCAGUCCAGGCAAAGUAGUGCUUUCCCAUUAACUCUUCGAGGACUGCAAUUAUUUGCUCAAGAAAUAAAGUAAGACGUCAGCAGCCUGAGCUAAGCACUUUGAAAAUGCAUUGAUGUCAAUGAGAAAGACAAUUGAACCUCAGUACUGGCUUGCAUUUUUUUAAAAAACACUGAAACCCAAAGUGCUUAACUUUGAUUGGAUUGUUUCCUGACAAUGUUUCCAGAUUGGAGGGAGGAUUUAUACAUGCAUUGUUAUGCGAUGAUCAUCAUCAUCAUAGUAGUCCAGUCCAAGAGUAGCUAGUAAAAGCUUUGUGACCUUGACGGCCAUUCUAAGCAAACCCCAGGCCCUCAUUGCUAAGGAAAUGCAUAUAGGACUUCACUGUAACGAAAUAUCACUUUAAGAGCAGAUGUUUAAAUUAUGCUGUAUUUGGGAUGAAAUCACUUCCUUUGUCACGCCUUUUUAAUCCAUUGCUAAAACAAAAAUGGGAUUGCCUUUAUAGUUCCAUACAUAUUUGACCCUUCACUGAUUUAUUUUGUUCGGAUCGAGUAAUCUCGAGGGCCAACAUUACUCUCUGUUCAUGAACUUUCAGCAAAAAAAGAUUUUCUUUUGUUGUUGUUUUUUUUGGGGGGGGGAGAAAAAUCUAUGAAUAUCUGAACACAUUGCACUAAUAAACAUGAAUAAGAGAAUUACUGUAUAGUUGCUGUUUAAGAUUUAAAAUAAAAGUACAGUGCAGUUUUAAACUGGUGACUUAAAAUGAAGGGAAUCAUACGACUCAAGGUGUGGUGGGGAGCGGUGAUGAAAAAUAAUCAGUCAUUCCAUGCUUAAAAGAAAAAAGCCAGGGAAGGAUUCUAGAUGGUGGCAACCAACCACCCAGCUGAAGCCCUGCCUCCUUUAUACAUGCGUUAUAAAAAGGGGGGACCAGCUUUGAUCACAUUGCUGUGCCCCAAUCUGGAUUUUUUUUUAACCACCUCUUUGCAGAUAUUCUUGAAACACUUAAUAUUAUGUGGAUGUUGGAAGUCAAUUGAUAAAGAUGUCACACAUUCAAUUAACCUUAACAGUUUGUUUCUUGCGGGGGGGGGGGGGGGGACCCUUGCUUCAUAUCAAUGGGUUUCUGCUCCCGACAAUCUUAAUAGAGCUUGGUUCAUUAUCUGUAUUAUUAUCAGCACAUUCUAAAUCGAUUUAUGUUCCGUACGACUCUGUUUCAUCACACUGUACAUACACAAAUGAUUUUAAGUGGGAUGCUCUAAAAAUGUGGGUCAGAUGAAUAUGUUCUGCAGUCUUUGCAGGUGGGGACGAAGUACUCAAAGGGUUAAUGCUCAGUAUCUGAGUGCAAGGAAUUAAUUUUUUCUUUUUGGUAUUUUUAUAAAAUUCAAACACACACACCUAUAUGUGUAUAUAUAAAUAUAUAACUAUAUAUAUUGUAAAUUGUAGCAAAUAAUGUAUUCAUUGUGUGUGUAUGUUUACACACACUCUUACGUGUGUCUUUCAAAAAUGAACACAGCAGAAUGCACUAAAUGGGUGUUGAGAUAUGAACAGAAUUUCCUUUUUUCAUGAUUGCUUCUUUUAGAUGAUAAAAAAUUCCCGAGCUUUAUUAUGUAUCUGCUGUAUAUGCUUGAACUGUCUCAGAAACUAAAAUACAGUAUUUUGCAUUGUGAGUAUAAUAUAUUUCCUAAUUUUUAUAAUUUGUUUUUUUCAUGGACACAAUACAAAUCCACAACAUCAGUGAAACUGUAGACACAUAAAUACACUAUUAAAAGCCACUUUUCUGUAUCUGAUACUUAUAAUAUUCUGUAUUAGUUAUGUUAUACCUCUAGAAUAAUGCAAAAUAGUUUGCACAUUCUGAGAUACAGGCAAAAUAGUCACCCUGCAGACAUACACCCACAAAAAUGUUUCCAGCUUGUAUUUCCCCUUGCCAGCAUUAUUCUGUCUUAAGAAAACCAAACAAAGAUAAUGAAAUGGGUGCUGCUUUUCACAUAACAAAAAAAUCUUUGGCAUAAAUCUUUCCUGAAGACUAAUGUUCAGCAUUAGUACACCUUUCAUAUUGUGUCUGA